rnacentral:rRNA from 1 species
UGGGGAAUAUUGGACAAUGGGCGCAAGCCUGAUCCAGCCAUGCCGCGUGGGUGAAGAAGGCCUUCGGGUUGUAAAGCCCUUUUGUCCGGAAAGAAAAGCAUCGAGCUAAUACCUCGGUGUUCUGACGGUACCGGAAGAAUAAGCACCGGCUAACUUCGUGCCAGCAGCCGCGGUAAUACGAAGGGUGCAAGCGUUACUCGGAAUUACUGGGCGUAAAGCGUGCGUAGGUGGUUCGUUAAGUCUGAUGUGAAAGCCCUGGGCUCAACCUGGGAAUUGCAUUGGAUACUGGCGGGCUAGAGUGCGGUAGAGGAUGGCGGAAUUCCCUGUGUAGCGGUGAAAUGCGUAGAGAUGGGGGAGAACACUCGUGGCGAAGGCGGCCAGCUGGACCAGUCCUGACACUGAGGCGCGACAGCGUGGGGAGCAAACAGGAUUAGAUACCCCCGUAGUCCCUGAGCGGGCUGGCAAGGCGCAU